rnacentral:lncRNA from 1 species
GGGGCAAGUGGGGAGGAGGUUGAGAUAUUUGAGGAUUUUGGAAAAUGUAGGAGGGAAACAUUGCACUAGUACUAAAAAUUUGAGGCACAACCUUGGCGGGAUGUAGUGGGUCCCACCUAUCCUUUUGAUUUCAUAGUUUUUUGCACUAGGAGUCGCCAUGGAUGGAGCCGCCGUUUUGGGGGCAAGUGGGGAGGAGGUUGAGAUAUUUGAGGAUUUGGAAAAACGUAGGAGGGAAACAUUGUACUAGUACUAAAAAUAUGAGGCACAACCUUGGCGGGAUGUAGUGGGUCACACCUGUCCUUUUGAUUUCAUAGUUUUUUGCACUCAUGUUUGGUUUCAACAAACCUAUCUACAAUUUGCACUCAUGUUUGGUUUCAACAAACCUAUCUACAAUUUUAUCUAAAUUUGUACAGUUAUUAUUCAUGAAUGUAGGUUGGAGGAUGCAUGACUAUCUC